rnacentral:rRNA from 1 species
CCUACGGGAGACAGCAGUGGGGAAUAUUGCGCAAUGGGCGAAAGCCUGACGCAGCGACGCCGCGUGAGGGAUGAAGGUCUUCGGAUCGUAAACCUCUGUCAGCAGGGAAGAACGGUCACUGUGCUAAUCAGCAGUGAAUUGACGGUACCUGCAAAGGAAGCACCGGCUAACUCCGUGCCAGCAGCCGCGGUAAUACGGAGGGUGCGAGCGUUAAUCGGAAUUACUGGGCGUAAAGCGCUCGUAGGCGGUAUGUCAAGUCAAGGGUGAAAUCCCCGCGCUCAACGUGGGAACUGCAUUUGAAACUGGCAAACUUGAGUGUGUGAGAGGAGAGUGGAAUUCCAGGUGUAGGAGUGAAAUCCGUAGAUAUCUGGAGGAACAUCAGUGGCGAAGGCGACUAUCUGGCACAUAACUGACGCUGAGGAGCGAAAGCGUGGGGAGCAAACAGGAUUAGAUACCCGAGUAGUC